rnacentral:lncRNA from 10 species
ACAGAAGAAAAUUCCACAAGACAGAGUGAAGAUUUGGGAAGCCAAUUUACAGAAAUUUUCAUUAAGCAGCAGGAAAAUGUCACUCUUCUGUUAUCUUUAUUGGAGGAGUUUGAUUUCCAUGUCCGCUGGCCUGGUGUGAAGCUUCUUACUUCUCUUUUAAAACAACUAGGGCCUCAGGUGCAACAAAUUAUUUUAGUCAGUCCUAUGGGUGUUUCAAGAUUGAUGGACUUACUAGCGGAUUCCAGGGAAGUUAUACGUAAUGAUGGCGUCUUACUACUGCAGGCACUAACAAGAAGCAAUGGUGCAAUCCAGAAAAUUGUUGCUUUUGAAAAUGCUUUCGAGAGACUACUGGACAUUAUUUCAGAGGAGGGGAACAGUGAUGGAGGUAUAGUAUGAAGAAAUUAUUUGAAGACAUUCCUUUUGUACUCACUGACUUGUUAGGGUAUAGGGAAUACAGUUGGAGGGAGAAAUGGGGACUCUUAUUUAUACUCUUUGUUUUUCUUUCACUAUGGCAUGUUGACUAUCGAUUUCUCUUUAUCCUGUUUCAUAUUUGUUAGGCUUUUACAAUCUAGGUUGGUGUCUUUCCUUGUUUAGAAAAUCUCACCUAUAUCUCUUCAAAUACUGUAUUGCUAGGUUUCUUUUAUUUUUCUGAAGCUAUAGAUUAUUAUGCAUGUCCUUUUGCAGAUUUGGUGAUAGGGAGUUGAGUUGAAGGCAGAAUUAUAUACUGAGUGAAUAGGGAGGACACAAUUGAGAAUUAAUGGGAAAGGUUAGAAAUAGUCUUUUGGAGAAUAGGAGAGCUAGUUAAUUAUUGUAAUUAGGAAGAUUUUCAAAGUGAUACGAACCCCAGCUGGGCUUGAUGGCUCAUACCUGUAAUGCCAGCACUUUGGGAGGCUGAAGUGGGUGGAUCACUUUAGGCCAGGAGUUCGAGACCAGUCGGGCCAACAUGGCAAAACCUCAUCUUUACUAAAAAUACAAAAAUUAGCUGGGCGUGGUGGUAAACACCUGUAAUCCCAGCUACUUGGGAGGCUGAGAAACGAGAAUCACUUGAACCCGGGAGGUGGAGAUUGCAAUGAGCUGAGAUCGCACCGCUGUACUCCAGCCUGGGUAACAGAAUGAGACUCUGCCUCAAAAAAAUAAAAAGGGGGAUAAGGGCCCCAUUAAGGGUAUUCACCAUGAUUUUACAAUAGCACCAACUACUUGAGUGUGUAAUUUAUUUUCUCCCCUAGCAGCACUCAGCUGCCUAGGUGCAAAUAUAGAAAAAAAACUCAGUUUUUCACAGGGUUGGGCCUUUUCUGGGAAGGUGCUAUGAAAAGACAGUAAGACAAGAGAACAUAGUAUAUUCCUAUUCCACUUCUGUAGAGUGGAAGAA